GUUCACGAGAAAAAAAAGGAAAAAGGCCCUCUUUCUCCCCCAAAUCCUCCGCCAACUCUGUCUCCAUCAAAUCCUCCUCCCCGCUAGCUCAGCUCGCCGGCUCGCCGCCCCCUACAGUCCCGCUCCCGCCCCCCUGCCGACCUCUCCUCGUUCCUUCCCUGCCGACCUCUCUUCCCUUCCAUCCUUGCCGCUGUUCCUGAUUUGGCUAUGGCGCCUUUCCUCGUGGUGACGGAGCCGCGCUGCCCGACGUGACGGAGCCUCGCCGCUGGUGGUGAGUGAACCGGAGCAGCGCCCGUGGUAAGGGAACUGCAGCAGCGUCGCCUGUGGUGAGGGAGGCGCUCCGCGUCCUCCAGAUCUGACGGCCAGCGACGCUACCCGUCUCCUCCAGAUCUGACGGCCGCUGGUGACUGCAUCGACCCAGCGUUGGUAACCCACGCCCGGCACCCCCUUCUGCUUCGAUGACGACCCUAUCUGCUAAAACGCGCUCCCCCUGGCCGGCUCACCCAACCUCCGCUCUGCUUCAAAGGUUCUCCCUCCCUCUCUCUCUCUCUAUUUGGUUGAUGUGCAGGAGAGUCCCUGGAUCCAGAUCAGGAGGAAAAGAGAUAUGAGACGCCUAGCCAGCACCAAUAGAGAUCAAUCGAUGCAAUGCAGGAAAGGUGUGCAAAGAGCUUAUGUUGAGAGCCGAACAUCUGAGCAUGUGCAAGAGUUCAGAGUGAAAAAUUUAUUGACAGCUAUAAUAAAUAACAAGGCCAGUUUCUAACAUGUCUCUGUACGGGCUUCCUAGCACUUCAGGAGCACAUAUUAUGGAUAGUAGCCGAGAUCCUCCAUCUUUGUGCGUACAAGAACAUGCUGAUAAUCUAUAUCUUCAUGACCACAAUGCGAGCUUAGAUGUUUCUGCACGAGACUUGAAUAUUGAAGGCAUGUUCUGCAAGCUGCUAUGUUUUUGGUGGUAGCAACUGUGUAGCUGCUGAACUAUAUAGCAGAUUGAUGUUUUUUGGUGCAACAAAAUGUAGUUGCUUAUCAAAGACCGUACUUUGUAUGUUGAUCGUUUGAUGGGCUGUGAUGUACAAUAUAGAUUUCAAUAUUAUUUGAAUGAGGCUGAGACCUGACAGUUUCAUGGUGUUCAUCAUCAAA